AAAUGAAUACGUGGUGAUUUGAGCCAGUCGGCUUGCGUCCACGUGAAAAAAAAUCGCUAAAAAUGACUGGGGGAUACCCGG
rnacentral:ncRNA from 2 species